GACCUGCAACAAACGUUUGCUUCCUCUUUGUGCUCUUUAACCUCACAGCUGCUCCUCUCUUUUGUUGCUACAUUACUGGAGACACGGUGGCAGACCCUUCCCCCCGGGUAGAGCCCAGGUGCGCUUAAAAUUUUUAUGAAGGCCACAAAGCUUCUUUUAGAUGGACGUGCUGCCGCUGCGCUGCUUAAAUUCUCAAAAGGUCCGCUCCUGGACUUGGUCCAAGCUCCUCAGAGCUGCUUAGUUACCUGAGAAGUUUGGAGCAAGUACAGGAUCUCUGACCUUUGUCUGCAUCAAAUGUUCUCGGUGUCGUUUCAAAAGUUCUGCCUUCAGGAGUUUGAGACUUCUCUGGGACCGUAAAGAUUGCUAGGACCCUGCUGGAUUAUGGGAAAUCCAGGACUUCACCACGGACUUCACAUCCGCACAGAUUGUCCCAAUCUGUACUAAAAUCAUACAUAUAGAAGAUUUCUGCUUCUCCACCUUGCCUUGAAAGAACCCCAGGAGUUUGUUUGAAUUCAUCCAUUUUUACAUGUACAGCUUCUAGCUCACCAAUCAGCAUAUAAUUUGUUUUGCCUGUUGUGUGUAUCGGUCAGGAGAAAAAGCCAAAAAUAAAUGUUUUUCAUUGUGAACUGAUUACACCAAUGUUCUA